rnacentral:lncRNA from 12 species
GCCACAUGACUGACCUGGUACCUCCUGCAGCGUGGAAAGAGGAGUUACCAAAAAGUGGUUUUAGGACCAUGUGAUCUGCCCCUCCUGGAUAAAUCUCAGCUUACACCUGACCUUCAUAUCUGAAUUUGCCCCUCCAUAAAGCAGAAGUUUUUAUUUAAAUAUUCCUGGAGCAGGA